AGUCGAACGGCAGCACGGACUUCGGUCUGUGUGGCGAGUGGCGAAUGGGUGAGUAAUGUAUCGGAACGUGCCUAGCGGCGGGGAUAACUAUGCGAAAGCGUAGCCAUACCGGGCAUACGCCCUUCGGGGGAAAGCGGGGACCUUCGGGCCUCGCACCAUUAGAGCGGCUGAUAUCGGAUUAGCUAGUUGUGGGGUAACGGCUCACCAUGACGAUCCGUAGCUGGUUUGAGAGGGACAUCAGUCAUUGGGACUGAGACACGGCCCAGACUCCUACGGAGGCAGCAGUGGGGAAUUUUGGACAAUGGGGGAAACCCUGAUCCAGCCAUCCCGCGUGCGAUGAAGGCCUUCGGGUUGUAAAGUACUUUUGGCAGGAAAGAAACGCACGGGAUAAUACUCCCGUGCAACUGACGGUACCUGCAGAAUAAGCACCGGCUAACUACGCGCCAGCAGCCGCGGUAAUACGUAGGGCAAGCGUUAAUCGGAAUUACUGGGCGUGAAGCGUGCGCAGGCGGUUCGGAAAGAAAGAUGUGAAAUCCCAGAGCUUAACUUUGAACCGCAUUUUUAACUACCGAGCUAGAGUGUGUCAGAGGGAGGUGGAAUUCCGUGGUGCAGUGAAAUGCGUAGAUAUGCGGAGGAACACCGAUGGCGAAGGUAGCCCCCGGGAUAACACUGACGCUCAUGCACGAAAGCGUGGGCGGGCAUUAGAUACUCCUGGGUAGUCCACGCCCAAACGAUGUCAACUAGCUGUUGGGGCCUUCGGGCUCUGGUAGCGCAGCUAACGCGUGAAGUUGACCGGGGAGUACGGUCGCAGAAACCCAAAGGAAUUGACGGGACUCCGUACAAGCGGUGGAUGAUGUGGAUUAAUUCGAUGCAACCCGCGAAAACUCCGCCUGUUCUCUUGACAUGUCGGGAAUCCCGAAGAGAUUUGGGAGUGCCUUUGCAGAGAAACUGGAACACAGGUGCUGUAUGGCUGUCGUCAGCUCGUGUCGUGAGAUGUUGGGUUAAGUCCUGCAACGAGCGCAACCCUUGUCAUUAGUUGCUACGAAAGGGCACUCUAAUGAGACUGCCGGUGACAAACUGAGGAAGGUGGGGAUGACGUCAAGUCCCUUAUGGCCCUUAUGGGUAGGGCUUCACACGUCAUACAAUGGUCGGGAUGGGGUCGCCAACCCGCGAGGUGGAGCCAAUCCCAGAAACCUGAUCGUAGUCCGGAUCGUAGCCCGUAACCCGACUGGUGUGAAGUCGGAAUCGCUAGUAAUCGCGGAUCAGCAUGUCGCGGUGAAUACGUUCCCGGGUCUUGUACACACCGCCCAACAGCACCAUGGAGUGGGUCUUACCAGAAGUAGUUAGCCUAACCGUAAGGAGUGGCGAUUACCACGGUAGGAUUCAUGACUGGGGUGAAGUCGUAAUACAGCAGC
rnacentral:rRNA from 1 species